GACGAACGCUGGCGGCGUGCCUAAUACAUGCAAGUAGGACGCAGUUGCGAACGGGUGAGUAACGCGUAGGUAACUACCUAUUAGAGGGGGGUAACUAUUGGAAACGAUAGCUAAUACCGCAUACUAGUAGAUGGACAUGCGUUGUAUUUGCUAGUAGGUGGGGUAAUUGCCUACCUAGGCAACGAUACAUAGCCGACCCGAGAGGGUGAUCGGGCAAACUGGGACUGGGACACGGGCCAGUCUCCUACGGGAGGCAACAGUAGGGAAUCUUCGGGAAUGGGGGGAACCCUGGCCGGGCAACGCCGCGGGGGGUAAGAAGGUUUUCGGAUCGUAAAGCUCUGGUGUUAAGGAAGCGGUACUUAACCAGAAAGGGACGGCUAACUACGUGCCAGCAGCCGCGGUAAUAC
rnacentral:rRNA from 1 species